AGCUUUGCGCAGUGGCGAUAUCGUAACCAAUGAGGUUUUACCGAGGUGCGAUUAUUGCUAGUUGAAAAAAAAACUAUUUUCACUGUGAACGAAUUCCCAUGAUUUGCAUACCAAUCGAAUGAAAUUCUGUAAGAUUUAUUUGAUU